rnacentral:rRNA from 1 species
UACGUAGGGGGCAAGCGUUGUCCGGAAUCAUUGGGCGUAAAGAGCGCGUAGGCGGCCCGAUAAGUCCGCUGUGAAAGUCAAGGGCUCAACCCUUGAAUGCCGGUGGAUACUGUCGGGCUAGAGUCCGGAAGAGGCGAGUGGAAUUCCUGGUGUAGCGGUGAAAUGCGCAGAUAUCAGGAGGAAUACCGAUGGCGAAGGCAGGUCUCUGGGCUAACACUGACGCUCAUGCACGAAAGCGUGGGGAGCAAACAGG